GUGCUGUGAUGAUUAUUGCGCAGUAGGUGAGAUUAGGGUCUCUACCGAGUCUGAUAUCAGACGAUAACAUGUGCAUCUGAGCCU